UACGUAGGGGGCAAGCGUUAUCCGGAUUUACUGGGUGUAAAGGGAGCGUAGGUGGCAUGGUAAGCCAGAAGUGAAAACCCGGGGCUCAACCCCGCGGAUUGCUUUUGGAACUAUCAGGCUGGAGUGCUGGAGGGGUAAGCGGAAUUCCUAGUGUAGCGGUGAAAUGCGUAGAUAUAUGGAAGAACACCAGUGGCGAAAGCGGCUCUCUGGUCUGUAACUGACGCUGAGGUUCGAAAGCGUGGGUAGCAAACAGG
rnacentral:rRNA from 1 species